CUCACUCCAUUAUCAAUUAUUUUUCACAUUUUUCAGUACUUCUAGUUCUUCGUAAUCUCCUUCAAAAAAAAAUAAUCUUUCUCCCGAAUUUUUUUUAUGUACAGGGUAAUAUGCUUCGUAAUCUCCGUUAUUCAUCUAAUAUUUCUUCUGUAAGAAAAAAAUUCCCUUCGAAAAACAAAAGAAGCUUUUGAUUUCGUUUAUCAAAUCAUGAGAUUCCUCAACUAGUCUACCCUAAUAUUUACUGCUCUUGUGUUCUUCAUCAACUAUUCUACCCUAAUCUUCGACUAGUUUCUUCUGGAAGAUUUUGACUGCUCUUGUGUUCUUCAUCAAAUCAUGAGAUUUCGCAACUAUUCCACCUUAAUUUUUCAGAUACGUUGUUAACAGAUCGGGAUUUCGUUUAGUUGCAGAUAAAAUUGUUGUCAGGGUUUUCAGUAGAUUACUAUUCUAAAUCUAAUUAUAGUUAUUUUUCUGCCUAAUCGAUCCUUCACUAUUCUUCUGCGAAUGUAAUUGAUGUUUGCCCUAAUUUCCAUUUCAGGUUGAAAGAAAUAGUUGGUGCGAUUUCCAAUCAGAUCAGGUUGAAAGAAACAGUUGGUGCGAUUUCAGGGAUUCAUUUGCAAUCAGAUCAGAUAGUCAGAUGUGAUUCCAAAAGAUUGGAUGGAUGAAAGUGUUAUUUUUAGUAAAGUUUAUCGAGAUGGGGUUAGAUACUUUAUCAGUUUUGCUGUAAGAUAUGGUUACUCGAAGUCGAUAUGUGCCUGCCCUUGUAAUAAGUGCCGAAAUAGAAAGAAUCUAGAAAUUGAAAAAGUUAGGCAACAUCUAUUAGAGAAGGAUAUAGACAAGAGGUACCGUAUGUGGGCUUUCAUGGUGAGAAAUCAACUAAUAGAAGCACAGUCGGUUCAGUCCAAGAGGAAAACAUCAGCGAACCAAAUAGGGAGGAAGGUGUGCCUGAAAUGAGAAGAUUGGUUGAUGUUGCAUUUGGAGUGCAUGAAAUGGCAGAUGAUGGCAUUAGUAGCGACGAGGCAGUUCAGUUAGAAUCUUUAGUUGCAGAACCUGAUUUAGGAAAACGAUAUGAGAAAUAUAAGGUCUUAGCAGAAGAGAAACUAUACCCUAACCAUCAAGGUAACCAUACAAAUCUAUCUGCAGUUGUUGAACUUCAUAAUAUGAAAAAGAUGUAUGGCAUUUCAGGGAAUUCCAUGAGCUCUAUCUUGUCAAAGGUAAAACAAUGGCCCAGAUAAGGGUAAAAGGUCUUUACGUGGCUUUUCCUCCAGCGUUUCUGCGAAGCGUGCUAAGCAAGCAUUCCUGACUGCUGCUGUUCAGGAUUCUACAGUUAACAAAUACAACUCUCCUGUCACCGGACUGAAAAAGUACAAUCAGUGAAAGUUGUGAUGUUGGUGCGUGUGAACUGAAAGUUCAAAUGGAAUGGCAUACACUUUUUGUAGGUCAUGGCACAAAAUAUAUCCAGUGACCAUCCAAAAAGCGAAGAAACAAUCUUGGAUGAUUCUUGUACCCCUAACUCUGAGUUCACUCCUGAGUUCCCUCCUGACUUCACUCCAGAAAAUCAUUCUUUUACCAGGAAUUUAGAUCCCAUGUCAGAGCCACAAUCUUUCGACAAUUCUGGUUAUGUGAAUUUGUUGGACAUGAAUGGAAAAAUAGUUGCAGCUGGAUAUGUGGUAACCGGUUUGGAAGGUGAGGUCUGUCACCACAGAAUUGUCCAAAAGAACGAGAGUAAAGUUCGCAUAGAAUGCAUCUACGAUGAUUCUGCACCAAUUUGGGACCCUCCUCAAGGUGAUGACUUCUAUAAGCUAUCUUCUUAUGUUGUUGGUGGUUGGAUAAUAUGGCAUAAGAAGCGUCUGCAAUUUAUAAAUUAAACAUUGUGUACCUUGUUACAGAUUAGUACUAUUAGGUAGAGUUUAUUUUCAAUUUAUAAUAAUUUGUUAGUUUCUAUUGUUUAGUGUUUUAAGAGUGUAUUGGGGACAUCCAGUGGAUGUUGAAACAGAUGUCUUUUUAUUAAUUUAAUUUAUAUUUUCUA